rnacentral:rRNA from 1 species
GGUUAAGCGACUAAGCGUACACGGUGGAUGCCCUGGCAGUCAGAGGCGAUGAAGGGCGUGCUAAUCUGCGAUAAGCGCCGGUAAGGUGAUAUGAACCGUUAUAACCGGCGAUACCCGAAUGGGGAAACCCAGUGUGAUUCGUCACACUAUCAUUAACUGAAUCCAUAGGUUAAUGAGGCGAACCGGGGGAACUGAAACAUCUAAGUACCCCGAGGAAAAGAAAUCAACCGAGAUUCCCCCAGUAGCGGCGAGCGAACGGGGAGGAGCCCAGAGCCUGAAUCAGCAUGUGUGUUAGUGGAAGCGUCUGGAAAGGCGCGCGAUACAGGGUGACAGCCCCGUACACAAAAGCGCAUGUGCUGUGAGCUCGAUGAGUAGGGCGGGACACGUGGUAUCCUGUCUGAAUAUGGGGGGACCAUCCUCCAAGGCUAAAUACUCCUGACUGACCGAUAGUGAACCAGUACCGUGAGGGAAAGGCGAAAAGAACCCCGGCGAGGGGAGUGAAAAAGAACCUGAAACCGUGUACGUACAAGCAGUGGGAGCACAGGUUUACCUGUGUGACUGCGUACCUUUUGUAUAAUGGGUCAGCGACUUAUAUUCUGUAGCAAGGUUAACCGAAUAGGGGAGCCGUAGGGAAACCGAGUCUUAACCGGGCGUUAAGUUGCAGGGUAUAGACCCGAAACCCGGUGAUCUAGCCAUGGGCAGGUUGAAGGUUGGGUAACACUAACUGGAGGACCGAACCGACUAAUGUUGAAAAAUUAGCGGAUGACCUGUGGCUGGGGGUGAAAGGCCAAUCAAACCGGGAGAUAGCUGGUUCUCCCCGAAAGCUAUUUAGGUAGCGCCUCGUGAACUCAUCUCCGGGGGUAGAGCACUGUUUCGGCUAGGGGGCCAUCCCGGCUUACCAACCCGAUGCAAACUGCGAAUACCGGAGAAUGUUAUCACGGGAGACACACGGCGGGUGCUAACGUCCGUCGUGAAGAGGGAAACAACCCAGACCGCCAGCUAAGGUCCCAAAGUCAUGGUUAAGUGGGAAACGAUGUGGGAAGGCCCAGACAGCCAGGAUGUUGGCUUAGAAGCAGCCAUCAUUUAAAGAAAGCGUAAUAGCUCACUGGUCGAGUCGGCCUGCGCGGAAGAUGUAACGGGGCUAAACCAUGCACCGAAGCUGCGGCAGCGAACGUAUCACUUAAAGCGAUUCAGCGGAUGACGAUUGACGGAGCGAAGCGACGUCAAAGCGUAUACAAAGUCGAGUCGGUUUAAGGAUACGUUCGUUGGGUAGGGGAGCGUUCUGUAAGCCUGUGAAGGUGGCCUGUGAGGGUUGCUGGAGGUAUCAGAAGUGCGAAUGCUGACAUAAGUAACGAUAAAGCGGGUGAAAAGCCCGCUCGCCGGAAGACCAAGGGUUCCUGUCCAACGUUAAUCGGGGCAGGGUGAGUCGACCCCUAAGGCGAGGCCGAAAGGCGUAGUCGAUGGGAAACAGGUUAAUAUUCCUGUACUUGGUGUUACUGCGAAGGGGGGACGGAGAAGGCUAUGUUGGCCGGGCGACGGUUGUCCCGGUUUAAGCGUGUAGGCUGGUUUUCCAGGCAAAUCCGGAAAAUCAAGGCUGAGGCGUGAUGACGAGGCACUACGGUGCUGAAGCAACAAAUGCCCUGCUUCCAGGAAAAGCCUCUAAGCAUCAGGUAACAUCAAAUCGUACCCCAAACCGACACAGGUGGUCAGGUAGAGAAUACCAAGGCGCUUGAGAGAACUCGGGUGAAGGAACUAGGCAAAAUGGUGCCGUAACUUCGGGAGAAGGCACGCUGACACGUAGGUGAAGUGAUUUACUCAUGGAGCUGAAGUCAGUCGAAGAUACCAGCUGGCUGCAACUGUUUAUUAAAAACACAGCACUGUGCAAACACGAAAGUGGACGUAUACGGUGUGACGCCUGCCCGGUGCCGGAAGGUUAAUUGAUGGGGUCAGCGCAAGCGAAGCUCCUGAUCGAAGCCCCGGUAAACGGCGGCCGUAACUAUAACGGUCCUAAGGUAGCGAAAUUCCUUGUCGGGUAAGUUCCGACCUGCACGAAUGGCGUAAUGAUGGCCAGGCUGUCUCCACCCGAGACUCAGUGAAAUUGAACUCGCUGUGAAGAUGCAGUGUACCCGCGGCAAGACGGAAAGACCCCGUGAACCUUUACUAUAGCUUGACACUGAACAUUGAGCCUUGAUGUGUAGGAUAGGUGGGAGGCUUUGAAGUGUGGACGCCAGUCUGCAUGGAGCCGACCUUGAAAUACCACCCUUUAAUGUUUGAUGUUCUAACGUGGACCCGUUACCCGGGUUGCGGACAGUGUCUGGUGGGUAGUUUGACUGGGGCGGUCUCCUCCUAAAGAGUAACGGAGGAGCACGAAGGUUGGCUAAUCCUGGUCGGACAUCAGGAGGUUAGUGCAAUGGCAUAAGCCAGCUUGACUGCGAGCGUGACGGCGCGAGCAGGUGCGAAAGCAGGUCAUAGUGAUCCGGUGGUUCUGAAUGGAAGGGCCAUCGCUCAACGGAUAAAAGGUACUCCGGGGAUAACAGGCUGAUACCGCCCAAGAGUUCAUAUCGACGGCGGUGUUUGGCACCUCGAUGUCGGCUCAUCACAUCCUGGGGCUGAAGUAGGUCCCAAGGGUAUGGCUGUUCGCCAUUUAAAGUGGUACGCGAGCUGGGUUUAGAACGUCGUGAGACAGUUCGGUCCCUAUCUGCCGUGGGCGCUGGAGAACUGAGGGGGGCUGCUCCUAGUACGAGAGGACCGGAGUGGACGCAUCACUGGUGUUCGGGUUGUCAUGCCAAUGGCACUGCCCGGUAGCUAAAUGCGGAAGAGAUAAGUGCUGAAAGCAUCUAAGCACGAAACUUGCCCCGAGAUGAGUUCUCCCUGAGACUUAGAGUCUCCUGAAGGAACGUUGAAGACGACGACGUUGAUAGGCCGGGUGUGUAAGCGCAGCGAUGCGUUGAGCUAACCGGUACUAAUGAACCGUGAGGCUUAACCUU